rnacentral:rRNA from 1 species
GAUGAACGCUGACAGAAUGCUUAACACAUGCAAGUCUUUGGCGAAUCUGUGCUUGCACAGGCUAGCCAAGGCGGACGGGUGAGUAACGCGUAAAGAACUUGCCCUGCAGACAGGGAUAACAGACGGAAACGACUGAUAACACCUGAUACAGUUGCCGGCACGCAUGUGCCUGGCAAUGAAAAGAGAUGCUGCAGGAGAGCUUUGCGUCCUAUUAGCUUGUUGGUGAGGUAACGGCUCACCAAGGCGAUGAUAGGUAGCCGGCCUGAGAGGGUGAACGGCCACAAGGGGACUGAGAUACGGCCCUUACUCCUACGGGAGGCAGCAGUGGGGAAUAUUGGACAAUGGGGGCAACCCUGAUCCAGCAAUUCUGUGUGCACGAAGAAGGUUUUCGGAUUGUAAAGUGCUUUCAGCAGGGAAGAAGAAAGUGACGGUACCUGCAGAAGAAGCGACGGCUAAAUACGUG